rnacentral:rRNA from 1 species
UGGGGAAUAUUGGUCAAUGGGCGAGAGCCUGAACCAGCCAAGUAGCGUGCAGGAUGACGGCCCUAUGGGUUGUAAACUGCUUUUAUAUGGGAAUAAAGUGAGGGACGUGUCCCUUAUUGCAUGUACCAUAUGAAUAAGGACCGGCUAAUUCCGUGCCAGCAGCCGCGGUAAUACGGAAGGUCCAGGCGUUAUCCGGAUUUAUUGGGUUUAAAGGGAGCGUAGGCUGUUUGUUAAGCGUGUUGUGAAAUGUAAGAGCUCAACUUUUAGAUUGCAGCGCGAACUGGCAGACUUGAGUGCGCACAACGUAGGCGGAAUUCAUGGUGUAGCGGUGAAAUGCUUAGAUAUCAUGACGAACUCCGAUUGCGAAGGCAGCUUACGGGAGCGCAACUGACGCUAAAGCUCGAAGGUGCGGGUAUCGAACAGG